CGACCGCUGGCGGCGUGCUUAACACAUGCACGUCGAACGGAAAGGCCCUGCUUGCAGGGUACUCGAGUGGCGAACGGGUGAGUAACACGUGGGUGAUCUGCCCUGCACUUCGGGAUAAGCCUGGGAAACUGGGUCUAAUACCGGAUAGGAGCCAUUUUUAGUGUGGUGGUUGGAAAGUUUUUUCGGUGUAGGAUGAGCUCGCGGCCUAUCAGCUUGUUGGUGGGGUAAUGGCCUACCAAGGCGGCGACGGGUAGCCGGCCUGAGAGGGUGGACGGCCACAUUGGGACUGAGAUACGGCCCAGACUCCUACGGGAGGCAGCAGUGGGGAAUAUUGCACAAUGGGCGCAAGCCUGAUGCAGCGACGCCGCGUGGGGGAUGACGGCCUUCGGGUUGUAAACUCCUUUCGCUAGGGACGAAGCUUUUUGUGACGGUACCUAGAUAAGAAGCACCGGCUAACUACGUG
rnacentral:rRNA from 1 species